rnacentral:rRNA from 1 species
AUUGAACGCUGGCGGCAUGCCUUACACAUGCAAGUCGAACGGUAACAGGUUAAGCUGACGAGUGGCGAACGGGUGAGUAAUGUAUCGGAACGUGCCCAGUCGUGGGGGAUAACUGCUCGAAAGAGCAGCUAAUACCGCAUACGACCUGAGGGUGAAAGCGGGGGAUCGCAAGACCUCGCGCGAUUGGAGCGGCCGCUAUCAGAUUAGGUAGUUGGUGAGGUAAAGGCUCACCAAGCCGACGAUCUGUAGCUGGUCUGAGAGGACGACCAGCCACACUGGGACUGAGACACGGCCCAGACUCCUACGGGAGGCAGCAGUGGGGAAUUUUGGACAAUGGGCGCAAGCCUGAUCCAGCCAUGCCGCGUGCGGGAAGAAGGCCUUCGGGUUGUAAACCGCUUUUGUCAGGGAAGAAAAGGUUCUGGCUAAUACCUGGGACUCAUGACGGUACCUGAAGAAUAAGCACCGGCUAACUACGUG